AUACGUAGGGGGUAAGCGUUGUCCGGAAUGAUUGGGCGUAAAGGGCGCGUAGGCGGCUCGGUAAGUCUGGAGUGAAAGUCCUGGCUUCAAGUUGGGAAUUGCUUUGGAUACUGUCGGGCUUGAGUGCAGGAGAGGUUAGUGGAAUUCCCAGUGUAGCGGUGAAAUGCGUAGAGAUUGGGAGGAACACCAGUGGCGAAGGCGACUAACUGGACUGUAACUGACGCUGAGGCGCGAAAGUGUGGGGAGC
rnacentral:rRNA from 1 species